CCUCUUGGGAUGCUUACCAAGCACAUCUGUGCACAUCAUGAGAUGCAAUAAAAAUUGCAAUGACAAUGCUAGACAAACACCCACACACCCACUGCACAAGACGCUGGGCAGAUCCAGUGCCAUCCUGCUUGGAAGCAGAUACUACGUAACUGGGCUCUGUGCUGCCAUUGUUUUUCAGAUUAUGAGACAAAGAGGAAAUAAAAAUGAGAAUCUCUGAAAUACUCAGGCUACUCUCUUCACUUUAGGGAGGAGAGGGUAGCCAAUACAAAUUUCUCAUCAAGCACCUUCAUAAAACUUAAUCCCGAAGUUUUUCUUUGACAAAACGCACAGGUUGGAUAGCUAUUCUCUCCCCAUUGGUUUUUGAGGUAUGGGCCCAUGUAAACAUGACAAGUAGCCCCCAAUAAGCCAACAUUCAACAGCAGUUCCUCAAAUCUUGCUGCCAGCAGCGUUAGAGUGAUCCAUAUAAUUACAAAUUAGAUCCAUUUACUGGGGUCUGGUUGCCUAUGCAAGAGCUUGCCUUCCAUAUAUAAACAUAAUUGUGAUAAAUCUGGACUCAACAGCCAUGGGGCAUUCUGAAGAUGAUAUCUAGAGGUUGCCAUGACAACUCCCUAGAAUUCCUGCUGUCUUUUCAUGGUAGAGUUCCUAGCUAAAGCCUGGAAGGUAUCUGAAAUAAAUCAUCAAAAGGUGGGACAGCUGGAAUUGGUCCAUGGAAGAAAUCCAAGUAUGCGGUUCAUAAGUCCUGUGGAGCUCUGUGGACCCAGUCAUACAGCAGAAGAUAUUGUCAACUCUAUAAGUGGCAUCUAAACUUCAUGUGAAACUGUCUUCAUAGCAGAGACCACUUUUGGGCCGGGAAGCACCCCUGUUACCAGUGGUGAGGGUCUGGUUUCCACAAAACCUCUCCAUGGGCUUCCUUGCCUCCAACUGCAAUCCCCCAAACCACUGAACCAUGAUCUCCAUCACAUGGCUUCCAAGAAACUUCCCUUCCUCUUGGUGUACCUGGGAGCUCUCUGCCUGACUCAUCCUCUCACCAGUAUGCUGGGGCCACCUAGAGCAAGGGCAACAACCUCUUGCUGUCCCCUGUGUGUCUUUACAGGCCAAAGGAUUUUCUUCCUGUUAACAUGCUUCUCGAGGGCAAGGAGAAGUUCUGAGGAGGAGUUCCAGUCCCCAGCCCUUGCCGUGAAAAAUUACAUACAUUUUUCUCCACUGAUUUAUUUAUCUCUGAUGAUUUAUUGGGAUUAUUUUGGCCUCUGUCAUAAUCUUUUUAGAAAACAAAUGCCCAAGAUUCAAAAAUAUCAAAAAGAGCAAAAAGGAUAUUUAAUGAAAAGGACCCUGGCCCCAGUUCCCUUGCCCAGAAACAAGUAAGAUUACCAAUUGUUUAUCCUUCCAG
rnacentral:lncRNA from 1 species